UACGAAGGGGGCUAGCGUUGUUCGGAAUCACUGGGCGUAAAGCGCUCGCAGGUGGUCCGUUGCGUCGUGCGUGAAAGACCCCGGCUCAACUGGGGGGUGUCGUGCGAUACGGGCGGACUGGAGGCCAGUAGGGGGAUGCGGAAUUCCGGGUGUAGUGGUGGAAUGCGUAGAGAUCCGGAGGAACACCAGCGGCGAAGGCGGCAUCCUGGACUGGUCCUGACACUCAGGAGCGAAAGCGUGGGGAGCGAUCCGG
rnacentral:rRNA from 1 species